rnacentral:rRNA from 1 species
CAGUCGCCGCGGUAAUACGGAGGGCGCGAGCGUUACCCGGAUUUACUGGGCGUAAAGGGCGUGUAGGCGGCCUGGGGCGUCCCAUGUGAAAGGCCACGGCUCAACCGUGGAGGAGCGUGGGAUACGCUCAGGCUAGAGGGUGGGAGAGGGUGGUGGAAUUCCCGGAGUAGCGGUGAAAUGCGCAGAUACCGGGAGGAACGCCGAUGGCGAAGGCAGCCACCUGGUCCACUUCUGACGCUGAGGCGCGAAAGCGUGGGGAGCAAACCGGAUUAGAGACCCCAGUAGUCCCUGUCUCUUAUAC